rnacentral:rRNA from 1 species
UACAGAGGGGGCCAGCGUUAUUCGGAAUCAUUGGGCGUAAAGCGCGUGUAGGCGGUUCGGUAAGUCUGCUGUGAAAGUCCAGGGCUCAACCCUGGGAUGCCGGUGGAUACUGCCGAACUAGAGUGCGGAAGAGGCGAGUGGAAUUCCCGGUGUAGCGGUGAAAUGCGCAGAUAUCGGGAGGAACACCUAUGGCGAAGGCAGCUCGCUGGGACGUUACUGACGCUGAGACGCGAAAGCGUGGGGAGCAAACAGG